AGCUGUGGCUGCUAAAGAAGGUCUGAGGUUAGACCAGCAUUCAGGGACAACAUCUCCCAGGAAGUGACACCUAAUGAAAAGAGACACUUCUUUGAGUUGGGUAUGAGUGAUCAAAAUGGAAAUUAAGAGCAGGUGUGUAAUAGACCCACAGAUGAAAAGACAAUGUGUAGGAAAAACUACACUAAAGAAGGAAAAAGAUCUGUAUCCUAAAACCAAAACACUGUAGAGAGAAAUUACAGAACACUCAAGGAGAUGGCUCCGUUGGUAAAGUGCUUGCCGCACAAACAUGAGGACAUGAGUUCAAAUCCCAGGACCCAUGUAAAAAGUUGGCUUGUUGGCAGAUACUUGAACAGGCAGAGACAUUAGGAUUUCUGGUGCUCAAUAUACUGCUAAAUUUGACUAAUGGUUGACCUGAAAGCCAAGGACAGACUUGUCUCAAAAGCAAGGGGAACACCUCCUCAGGAGAAUGUUAGAGUGGUCCUGUCAUAUCCACAUGUGUGUGUGCACAUAUGCUAAUAUGCACAUACAUACACAUACUGCCCCAAACUGGAUUUUUAAAAAAAGUAGGGAAAUAAUAAAAAUGUAAGAUAUUUCUCAGUUGCAAAAUGGAAAUAUUCAUAUAGUAAACUCCUUACAACACAAAACAGCGUGGAUGACACACUGACAUGUUUCUUCCCCUACAGGCCAGUAGAGUAAAGCCUAAACCCCAGCCAGCUCUCCCAGCUUCUCUAUACAACAACAUACCCAGCCAGCACCGGGAUUACCUCUUCAAGCAAACCAGUCUUUACCCGCACGUUAGCACCUGUCAGUGAUGUUCUCUCACCCAAAAAGCAUAUACCCACUCUUCAAGGUUUAUAUAGCCCUUGUUACCCGCCCCCCACCCAAUAAAAGGGAGAUGUUUUCCUGAAAACCUCUCAGAGAAGGCCGUUUCUCCCUGGGACUCACUCACCUUCCAUCCCAGCGGGUGCACAGAGGUGCCUGGAUAUCCUGAUUGCAGAAGAAGAACUGAGCUUGCAAACAGUUGCUUUACUCCCAGCCGUCUCUCAGAGAUCUCUUGAUCCUCCUCCCACCGUAAGAGACUUCUAAGACGAUGGCAGACUCACCACAGAUACAUGUCAGAGGGAGGGAGACAAGGACUGUGGUCUACAUUGAGAACCACUGCUUGGAAACUGGGGUUCUUCUCUCUCUUACUCCCUGGACACUGCUACCUCAUCCACAGUCUAGACUCCUCCAUCUCGCCUAGGAGAAGACUUCCUUCCAGUCUGUCUCAACAUUUGAAAGUCGGCGUGUCAGCUUCCACCAAAGAGCCUGCAGGCAGAAGAAAAUCCAUAGACUGCAUGUCAGAUAUUUACAUAUGAUUCAUAACAGUAGCAAACUCACAGCUAUGAAAUAACUGUAUAUUGUGGGUCGCCAGAACAUGAGGAACUGUAUUAAAGGGUCAGAGCAUUAGGAAAGCUGAGAACCCUUGAAUUGGAAGAUACAGUAGUACCUCUUUAGAUUGGGGCUAGCCUGGGCUACAUGAGACUUUGUCUUGAAGCAAAGAGCAAAGCUUACCAAAUCUCCAAACAGCACAGAGAGGUCGUCUAUUAGUUCUUUUUUGGCUGGAGAUGAAGAACUUGAAGAUGAUAUCAUUUUCUCUCCAGAUUGAGAUAAAGAAACUUUGUGACUAUUAA